rnacentral:rRNA from 1 species
AGCGAACGCUGGCGGCAGGCCUAACACAUGCAAGUCGAACGGACCCUUCGGGGUUAGUGGCGGACGGGUGAGUAACACGUGGGAACGUGCCUUUAGGUUCGGAAUAGCUCCUGGAAACGGGUGGUAAUGCCGAAUGUGCCCUUCGGGGGAAAGAUUUAUCGCCUUUAGAGCGGCCCGCGUCUGAUUAGCUAGUUGGUGAGGUAAUGGCUCACCAAGGCGACGAUCAGUAGCUGGUCUGAGAGGAUGACCAGCCACAUUGGGACUGAGACACGGCCCAAACUCCUACGGGAGGCAGCAGUGGGGAAUUUUGCGCAAUGGGCGAAAGCCUGACGCAGCCAUGCCGCGUGGAUGAUGAAGGUCUUAGGAUUGUAAAAUCCUUUCACCGGUGAAGAUAAUGACUGUAGCCGGAGAAGAAGCCCCGGCUAACUUCGUGCCAGCAGCCGCGGUAAGAC